rnacentral:ncRNA from 1 species
CUAAAGGCGAUUAUGGGGAUGAGUAAAGCGGUAAACCCUUUCAGAGAGCGGGGGAUGGUGCAAGCCCGCAGGGAGACCCGUUUGAACAUGGCCCCGGAGCUGUCGGUUCGAAGGAUUAAUCCAUUAGGGCCGGUCGGUUAAGCACCGUUAUUGCUUAUUAAGUGUUAUUUUAGCACUUGCUGAGGCUGUUGCCGUGAGGCGACGGUAAAUCAGGGUGGUACCGCGGAAACAACUCCGCCCCUGUA